rnacentral:rRNA from 1 species
GACAGAGGGUGCAACCGUUGUUCGGAAUUACUGGGCGUAAAGCGCGUGUAGGCUGUCUUGCAAGUCGGGUGUGAAAGCCCCGGGCUCAACCUGGGAAGUGCACUCGAAACUGCAAGACUCGAGUCCUGGAGAGGAAGGCGGAAUUCUCGGUGUAGAGGUGAAAUUCGUAGAUAUCGAGAGGAACACCGGUGGCGAAGGCGGCCUUCUGGACAGUGACUGACGCUGAGACGCGAAAGCGUGGGGAGCAAACGGG